UGAAACCGUUUAGGGGUAAACCUGAGAAACCCGAAAGGUCGAAGGGAGAAAUUCAUUCGCGUUUCGCAGUCGGCGUGAGGCGAUCGAGUGACGGAAUGCAUCCUCGGAUGUUUUCUGCACCUUUCGUUUUUCGAUCCGAUAGCGAACGCGUGCACUUUUCUCCUGGUAGGACGUCGCGAUCCGUUGGGUGUCGGUCUACGGCUCACGGUGGAGCCCGGAUGUACGGCUUGCCGUCACGUCCGGACCCGUGUGUCCCGGCUGACUCGCUCGACGGUAUACGAAAGGUUUAAGGCCGCUCUCGCGAGCGUUCGGCUCGUCGCAAGCGCGUCAAAUGUGUCGGUGAUCGGACCUAGUGCCGGUUCUGACCUUUGGCGACUGUUGGCGGCGAAGUUCUCSAACAGUGCUUUAUCCAAUCUGCGACGCU
rnacentral:rRNA from 1 species